UUGAUGACCCCUGUGGCGAAGGCGUNUACCAGAACACGUUCGACGGUGAGGGAUGAAAGCUGGGGAGCAAACCGGAUUAGAUACCCGGGUAGUCCCAGCUGUAAACGAUGCAGACUCGAUGAUGCAUUGGCAUAAUAGCCAGUGCAGUGUCGCAGGGAAGCCGUUAAGUCUGCCGCCUGGGAAGUACGUACGCAAGUAUGAAACUUAAAGGAAUUGGCGGGGGAGCACCACAAGGGGUGAAGCCUGCGGUUCAAUUGGAGUCAACGCCAGAAAUCUUACCCGGAGAGACAGCAGAAUGAAGGUCAAGCUGAAGACUUUACCAGACAAGCUGAGAGGUGGUGCAUGGCCGUCGCCAGCUCGUGCCGUGAGAUGUCCUGUUAAGUCAGGUAACGAGCGAGAUCCCUGCCACUAGUUGCUAUCAUUAUUCUCAGGAAUAGUGGGGCGAAUUAGUGGGACUGCCGUUGUUAAAACGGAGGAAGGAAGGGGCUACGGCAGGUCAGUAUGCCCCGAAACUCUGGGGCCACACGCGGGCUGCAAUGGUAGUGACAAUGAGUUCCAAACUCGAAAGAGAGUGGCAAUCUCUAAACGCUACCACAGUUAUGACUGAGGGCUGUAACUCGCCCUCACGAAUAUGGAAUCCCUAGUAACCGCGUGUCAUUACCGCGCGGUGAAUACGUCCCUGCUCC
rnacentral:rRNA from 1 species